rnacentral:tRNA from 1 species
GCUCGGUUAGCUCAGUAUGUGGGGCACCAGACUCUUAAUUUGGUAGUCACGGGUUCGAGCCUCGCAUCGGGCU